GGAAUCUUCCACAAUGGGCGAAAGCCUGAUGGAGCAACGCCGCGUGUGUGAUGAAGGCUUUCGGGUCGUAAAGCACUGUUGUAUGGGAAGAACAGCUAGAAUAGGGAAUGAUUUUAGUUUGACGGUACCAUACCAGAAAGGGACGGCUAAAUACGUGCCAGCAGCCGCGGUAAUACGUAUGUCCCGAGCGUUAUCCGGAUUUAUUGGGCGUAAAGCGAGCGCAGACGGUUGAUUAAGUCUGAUGUGAAAGCCCGGAGCUCAACUCCGGAAUGGCAUUGGAAACUGGUUAACUUGAGUGCAGUAGAGGUAAGUGGAACUCCAUGUGUAGCGGUGGAAUGCGUAGAUAUAUGGAAGAACACCAGUGGCGAAGGCGGCUUACUGGACAAAGACUGACGCUCAGGUGCGAAAGCGUGGGGAGCAAACA
rnacentral:rRNA from 1 species